GACGAACGCUGGCGGCGUGCUUAACACAUGCAAGUCGAACGGUAAGGCCCUUCGGGGUACACGAGUGGCGAACGGGUGAGUAACACGUGGGUGAUCUGCCCUGCACUUCGGGAUAAGCCUGGGAAACUGGGUCUAAUACCGGAUAGGACUCCGGACUGCAUGGUCUGGGGUGGAAAGCUUUUGCGGUGUGGGAUGGGCCCGCGGCCUAUCAGCUUAUUGGUGGGGUGAUGGCCUACCAAGGCGACGACGGGUAGCCGGCCUGUGAGGGUGACCGGCCACACUGGGGAUGAGAUACGGCCCAGACGCCUACGGGAGGCAGCAGUGGGGAAGAUUGCACAAUGGGCGCAAGCCUGAUGCAGCGACGCCGCGUGAGGGAUGACGGCCUUCGGGUUGUAAACCUCUUUCAGCAUCGACGAAGCGAAAGUGACGGUAGGUGCAGAAGAAGGACCGGCCAACUACGUGCCAGCAGCCGCGGUAA
rnacentral:rRNA from 1 species